AUAAUCUUAAUUUUUAAAGAAAGAUAAAAUAAUUUAAAUUUCCUAUUACAAUUAAUGAACAUUUCACUUACCACAGCCAUUUGAGACUUUAUUUUGAAAAUCAAUUCGCCUAAACUUACCACAGCCACUUCCGGCGUGUGUCUACCAUUGCCUGAAGCUACCUCCUCAGAGUCUGCAGCUGGAUACUAUUGAGUUUCUUUGAGCUUCUCCU